AACAUCUAAACUGGAUGAUGCAUGCGCAAUUUCUCGUUUACUUCCGCGCAGUUAAGCGCACAUUUAUGAUAAAGCAGAAACAGCACGACAAAGCGUGUCUUGUAGUAGAUGGCUAUCUGGAAGUUAUAUUUCCAGUUGUCCAUUCAUUUUAUGUAAAGGGUAUUUUCAAGAAUGCCACCUUGGUGGCAAGGGAGGCAAAGGUUACUUUAUUCUUCACUAAAUCGACUAGGCAUGUUGGAUUGAGAAACAUGCUAACUAGCUAGCUAACUUUACAACACAGCCUGUGUGCAGUUAGCUAGCAGCUAGGUAGCUAUCUCCAUGUUAGUCAUGUUAUUAUGUUGAACGUUAUCAUUCAGGUGGAGGAGACAAAGAAAAAAGGAAGAGAAGACGAUAAAAGGAGGCACUUCUGUUAAGGCAGCUCAGACAUAUCCUGUGUGAGAAACAUGUUAAAUGCAUGGAGGCGAUGGAGAAACUGAAGUCCGGGGUUCGCUUCAGUGAAGUGGCCUCCCAGUACAGUGAAGACAAAGCCAGACAAGGGGCCUACUCUGUUUGGAUUGAGUGGACUGGAACCAGACGGCAUCAGCCUAAAGUGAGCCCCUACUUGUCUCUGGAUCCUUGGCAUCGAUAAGGCUCCUCUCCUCAUUUCCUCUCAGCUCUAGCUGACCUAAAAUAAACAAGGAAGCGCACUUCCUCUAUUCAAAUAGGAGGAGAAGAUUGUCUGCUAAAUGACUAACAGGUGAGCCCGAGCCUCUGAGAUCAGUUUUACCUCUCAGCCCCUAAUGGUAGAUGUUUACAUUGGCAGAGGGUGAGGUGAUCUUAGAUCUGUGCUUACUAGCAACUUCUAACUCCAGCUAUCUCAAGUCUCUCAGCCUAUACGGGUGCUUCUGAUCCAUUCUAACUUCUGACCUCUAACCACUGCAGUGAGCAGAACUAUAUGAUCAGUGUUGUGUUAUGUCAUGGACGAUGUUCAUGGCCCUACAGAUCAUCACAGGCCAAUUAUGCCAUUGAUAUAUGGUUAAAAUGUAAUGAAAUGACAUGUACAUAUGAAGACUAACCUGGAAGGAUGAAAUAUGAAAUUAUUAUUAUUUGCUGAAUUGAUCAAUUCUGAUAUCAAAUUGAUUGAGAUUAUAGAUUGAAUAAUUGAUAACUGAUAGAUUCAUUCUCAUGGUUAUGAUGAAUACUUAUGAUCCUAAAUAACUCCAUUCUGCUUCAUAUUGAAUUCCUAUUGAACUGAAUUGCUGAAUUACCUCAUUAGGUUAAUAAUGACAAUGAAUGUUAUGAUUUGACUUUUGUGAUUAUGAAUUUGAUUGGAUACAUGUUAUUCUGUUUCCUUUGUUAUGCAGCACAGACAAACUACCCAGUAAAUAUGUGGUUAAAGGAAUUCCUGCCUCGGUCUCCUCCAUUCCUGUCACCUAAUCCAUGACCUGUUCACCUUCACUAUUGUCAGUCAUCCUACCUUUCCAGCUACACACAGAUUCCAAUCAUCUUUCCCUGUUUGACCGCUAGGUUUUAUGGGUAUUAUGGCACCGCCACUGUUGGGCCUUAUGCAGGCUGUCGCCGCUUUAUGAAUGCAAAUUUGCCUAACAGGAUCAUUGAAACACAUUGUUUAGUAAAAUUUCUAUACAAACUUUCUAAAUGUAGACAAAAAUCUAUGGACAAGUUAAUGGAAGCAUGGCUAUGUCUCAGAUUGUAAUGACCUUUCUCUCGCUCCUUCCUUCCUUCUCCCUCCUCUAGUUUAACUCCAGAGGUUUGAGAUCCCAGUGAAGGUCCAGCUCAGCACAGAGCCCUGAGACAGGCAUGGUGACUGAUGCCUUCAAGCUGAAGAGGAAAGAGUUAAAGAACCACUACCUCCAGCACAUAGAGAGGAUGUAUGGGAGGCCGUAAUGUAAUGACCUACAACUUCACCUAAUGCCAAUAGUGCACUACUUUUGACCAGAGCCCUAUGUAGGGAAUAGGGUUCUACUUGGGGUGCAGACCUUGAGAGAUGAAGGGUGUGCAGGCUUUCGCUCAGAACCUGCUCUAACAGAUUUGAUUCCGCUAAUCAUGGUCUUGGUUACAAGCAGCCAAUUAGUUGAAUUUGGUGUUAGUUUGAGCAGGGCUGGAGUUCAGUAGUAGGGUUGGCGACCCCUGACCUGAGCCAAAGUCACCAACAUUCCGCUGUUAGUUUAUGUAGUCUCAGUCGGUGCCAGUCACGUUUCUGCUUCAGCUGACGUGUUAUCUUGUGGCAUCCUAUUCCCUAUAUAGUCCACUACUUCUGACCAGAGCCCUAUGUGCCCUGUUCAAAAGUAGUUACCUACAAAGUGAAUAGAGUGUAAUUUGGGAUGCAGCUGUAGUGUUGUUCAAUAGAGAAGCCGUUAGGUACCCAGGCUGGUGGGCGUGGAAGCCGUUAGGUACCCAGGCUGGUGGGCGUGGAAGCCGUUAGGUACCCAGGCUAGUGGGCGUGGAAGCCGUUAGGUACCCAGGCUGGUGGGCGUGGAAGCCGUUAGGUACCCAGGCUGGUGGGCGUGGAAGCCGUUAGGUACCCAGGCUGGUGGGCGUGGAAGCCGUUAGGUACCCAGGCUGGUGGGCGUUGAAGCCGUUAGGUACCCAGGCUGGUGGGCGUGGAAGCCGUUAGGUACCCAGGCUGGUGGGCGUGGAAGCCGUUAGGUACCCAGGCUGGUGGGCGUGGAAGCCGUUAGGUACCCAGGCUGGUGGGCGUGGAAGCCGUUAGGUACCCAGGCUGGUGGGCGUGGGUGGAAAGAAUACCCCUAUUAACCAGUUUGAGCGCGUCCAGUUCUGCCCUGCAUCGUUGUCAUUAGGAAAAGACACUGAUGAGUCCUAACUGUAGAAAGUCCUCAACUUUCACCAACAAACGGAACAUUGAGGAAAUGGAACCAUUCCAACAGUCAGCGUCUACCUACCAUUCCAAACUAAGCUGUUUGUACCCGUUUUGUAACAAUGUAUUUUGGAAUAUCUGUGUAUUCUUUCUCUGUGUAUGCUCUCUCUGUGUUCUGUAAAUACGUUGUUGCUCAUCGAUUUGGUCAAUGAUAUAGUUCUGCUGCCCUCUAGUGGUAAGAUGGCAGUAGUGACAUUACUGUGCCUUGCAGAGCUCUCACUUCCCAGUGGCUGGUUAUUUAUGAAGAAUGUUACAUCCAUCCAUUGAGAAGAGCCAAGUCAUAUUUUGAUAAACUGAAUUGUUCAAAUCUCAAUGCUUGUCCGUUUUACUUUUCAAUACAUUCUUACCCUAUUAAACAUGA